rnacentral:rRNA from 1 species
GACAGAGGCCACGAACGUUGUUCGGAAUCACUGGGCAUAAAGCGCACGUAGGCGGCUGGGUCCGUCCGAUGUGAAAGCCCCCGGCUCAACCGGGGAAUUGCAUCGGAUACAGCCCGGCUUGAGGACGGUUGGGGUGAGUGGAACUCCUGGUGGAGCGGUGAAAUGCGUAGAUAUCAGGAGGAACACCGGUGGCGAAAGCGGCUCACUGGACCGUAACUGACGCUGAGGUGCGAAAGCGUGGGGAGCAAACAGG